rnacentral:misc_RNA from 1 species
UCCCCGUUGUCCGAGGCAGUUCCCUAAGAGUGCUGUCCAUUACAGACGUAGCAACAUAGGGUAAGGGUUGCGCUCGUUGCGGGACUUAACCCAACAUCUCACGACACGAGCUGACGACAGCCAUGCAGCACCUCUAUAGGCAACCGACUUUACGGUUCGUCGCUACUUUCAUAGCUUCUACUACCUACAGUUCAAGCCUAGGUAAGGUUCUUCGCGUUGCGUCGAAUUAAACCACAUCAUCCACCGCUUGUGCGGGUCCCCGUCAAUUCCUUUGAGUUUUAAUCUUGCGACCGUACUCCCCAGGCGGGGCACUUAAUGCGUUAGCUGCGGCACCCAGGGGGUCAAUACCCCGGACACCUAGUGCCCAUCGUUUACAGCGUGGACUAC